rnacentral:rRNA from 1 species
GGUUAAGCGACUAAGCGUACACGGUGGAUGCCCUGGCAGUCAGAGGCGAUGAAGGGCGUGCUAAUCUGCGAUAAGCGCCGGUAAGGUGAUAUGAACCGUUAUAACCGGCGAUACCCGAAUGGGGAAACCCAGUGUGACUCGUCACACUAUCAUUAACUGAAUCCAUAGGUUAAUGAGGCGAACCGGGGGAACUGAAACAUCUAAGUACCCCGAGGAAAAGAAAUCAACCGAGAUUCCCCCAGUAGCGGCGAGCGAACGGGGAGGAGCCCAGAGCCUGAAUCAGCAUGUGUGUUAGUGGAAGCGUCUGGAAAGGCGCGCGAUACAGGGUGACAGCCCCGUACACAAAAGCGCAUGUGCUGUGAGCUCGAUGAGUAGGGCGGGACACGUGGUAUCCUGUCUGAAUAUGGGGGGACCAUCCUCCAAGGCUAAAUACUCCUGACUGACCGAUAGUGAACCAGUACCGUGAGGGAAAGGCGAAAAGAACCCCGGCGAGGGGAGUGAAAAAGAACCUGAAACCGUGUACGUACAAGCAGUGGGAGCCCCACCACCAAAGCAUUCUCUGGUGUUGAAGGCCCUGCAAAGCAGCAUCGCGGUGGCGGAGCGUCGUUUGCGACGCCCAACACACAAAACAAGCGGUGAGUGCUUUGGGGUGGGGUGACUGCGUACCUUUUGUAUAAUGGGUCAGCGACUUAUAUUCUGUAGCAAGGUUAACCGUAUAGGGGAGCCGUAGGGAAACCGAGUCUUAACCGGGCGUUAAGUUGCAGGGUAUAGACCCGAAACCCGGUGAUCUAGCCAUGGGCAGGUUGAAGGUUGGGUAACACUAACUGGAGGACCGAACCGACUAAUGUUGAAAAAUUAGCGGAUGACUUGUGGCUGGGGUGAAAGGCCAAUCAAACCGGGAGAUAGCUGGUUCUCCCCGAAAGCUAUUUAGGUAGCGCCUCGUGAAUUCAUCUCGGGGGUAGAGCACUGUUUCGGCUAGGGGGUCAUCCCGACUUACCAACCCGAUGCAAACUGCGAAUACCGGAGAAUGUUAUCACGGGAGACACACGGCGGGUGCUAACGUCCGUCGUGAAGAGGGAAACAACCCAGACCGCCAGCUAAGGUCCCAAAGUCAUGGUUAAGUGGGAAACGAUGUGGGAAGGCCCAGACAGCCAGGAUGUUGGCUUAGAAGCAGCCAUCAUUUAAAGAAAGCGUAAUAGCUCACUGGUCGAGUCGGCCUGCGCGGAAGAUGUAACGGGGCUAAACCAUGCACCGAAGCUGCGGCAGCGACGCUGAUGCGUUGUUGGGUAGGGGAGCGUUCUGUAAGCCUGCGAAGGUGGCCUGUGAGGGUUGCUGGAGGUAUCAGAAGUGCGAAUGCUGACAUAAGUAACGAUAAAGCGGGUGAAAAGCCCGCUCGCCGGAAGACCAAGGGUUCCUGUCCAACGUUAAUCGGGGCAGGGUGAGUCGACCCCUAAGGCGAGGCCGAAAGGCGUAGUCGAUGGGAAACGGGUUAAUAUUCCCGUACUUGGUGUUACUGCGAAGGGGGGACGGAGAAGGCUAUGUUGGCCGGGCGACGGUUGUCCCGGUUUAAGCGUGUAGGUGUGUGUUCCAGGUAAAUCCGGUUCACUUUAACACUGAGGCGUGAUGACGAGGCACUACGGUGCUGAAGCAACAAAUGCCCUGCUUCCAGGAAAAGCCUCUAAGCAUCAGGUAACAUCAAAUCGUACCCCAAACCGACACAGGUGGUCAGGUAGAGAAUACCAAGGCGCUUGAGAGAACUCGGGUGAAGGAACUAGGCAAAAUGGUGCCGUAACUUCGGGAGAAGGCACGCUGACAUGUAGGUGAAGUGAUUUACUCAUGGAGCUGAAGUCAGUCGAAGAUACCAGCUGGCUGCAACUGUUUAUUAAAAACACAGCACUGUGCAAACACGAAAGUGGACGUAUACGGUGUGACGCCUGCCCGGUGCCGGAAGGUUAAUUGAUGGGGUCAGCGCAAGCGAAGCUCCUGAUCGAAGCCCCGGUAAACGGCGGCCGUAACUAUAACGGUCCUAAGGUAGCGAAAUUCCUUGUCGGGUAAGUUCCGACCUGCACGAAUGGCGUAAUGAUGGCCAGGCUGUCUCCACCCGAGACUCAGUGAAAUUGAACUCGCUGUGAAGAUGCAGUGUACCCGCGGCAAGACGGAAAGACCCCGUGAACCUUUACUAUAGCUUGACACUGAACAUUGAGCCUUGAUGUGUAGGAUAGGUGGGAGGCUUUGAAGUGUGGACGCCAGUCUGCAUGGAGCCGACCUUGAAAUACCACCCUUUAAUGUUUGAUGUUCUAACGUGGACCCGUGAUCCGGGUUGCGGACAGUGUCUGGUGGGUAGUUUGACUGGGGCGGUCUCCUCCUAAAGAGUAACGGAGGAGCACGAAGGUUGGCUAAUCCUGGUCGGACAUCAGGAGGUUAGUGCAAUGGCAUAAGCCAGCUUGACUGCGAGCGUGACGGCGCGAGCAGGUGCGAAAGCAGGUCAUAGUGAUCCGGUGGUUCUGAAUGGAAGGGCCAUCGCUCAACGGAUAAAAGGUACUCCGGGGAUAACAGGCUGAUACCGCCCAAGAGUUCAUAUCGACGGCGGUGUUUGGCACCUCGAUGUCGGCUCAUCACAUCCUGGGGCUGAAGUAGGUCCCAAGGGUAUGGCUGUUCGCCAUUUAAAGUGGUACGCGAGCUGGGUUUAGAACGUCGUGAGACAGUUCGGUCCCUAUCUGCCGUGGGCGCUGGAGAACUGAGGGGGGCUGCUCCUAGUACGAGAGGACCGGAGUGGACGCAUCACUGGUGUUCGGGUUGUCAUGCCAAUGGCACUGCCCGGUAGCUAAAUGCGGAAGAGAUAAGUGCUGAAAGCAUCUAAGCACGAAACUUGCCCCGAGAUGAGUUCUCCCUGAGACUUAGAGUCUCCUGAAGGAACGUUGAAGACGACGACGUUGAUAGGCCGGGUGUGUAAGCGCAGCGAUGCGUUGAGCUAACCGGUACUAAUGAACCGUGAGGCUUAACCUU